GACGAACGCNGGCGGCGUGCUUAACACAUGCAAGUCGAACGAAGAGCGACGGAAGCUUGCUUCUAUCAAUCUUAGUGGCGAACGGGUGAGUAACGCGUAAUCAACCUGCCCUUCAGAGGGGGACAACAGUUGGAAACGACUGCUAAUACCGCAUACGAUCCAAUCUCGGCAUCGAGGAUAGAUGAAAGGUGGCCUCUACAUGUAAGCUAUCACUGAAGGAGGGGAUUGCGUCUGAUUAGCUAGUUGGAGGGGUAACGGCCCACCAAGGCGAUGAUCAGUAGCCGGUCUGAGAGGAUGAACGGCCACAUUGGGACUGAGACACGGCCCAGACUCCUACGGGAGGCAGCAGUGGGGAAUCUUCCGCAAUGGACGAAAGUCUGACGGAGCAACGCCGCGUGAGUGAUGACGGCCUUCGGGUUGUAAAGCUCUGUUAAUCGGGACGAAAGGCCUUCUUGCAAAUAGUGAGAAGGAUGACGGNA
rnacentral:rRNA from 1 species